rnacentral:lncRNA from 1 species
AGGAUCCAAGCCGCUGCCCUUCCCACCUCCCCCAGCUCAGAUGGGAAACUGAGGCUUGGAGAGGUUGCCAAGGUUACAGACUGGUGGUUCUUUUCCUGGCAUCAGGUAGUUUCUACUCACACAUGAGCUGAUCAGUCCUCUGCUGAAUAUUCAAGGUGAACCCUCUGCAAAUCUCUACAUUCACCUGUGCAUCUCUCUCCUCUGAUACACCUGCAAAUUCGAGCUUCCUUGGUCUCCCUGACUGUCAGCUCCAUCUUUUCAACUCAGCGAGUCCACUGGGUCCUGACUGGGUUUUCCUUCUCUCUGCUGUGUCUUGGAAACUCUUCCAAGGCAAUAAGCUGGGCAAUCACAGGGCUCAACUCAUAC